GCACGAACCCACCCCAGCCCUUCUCCGCUCCUCCUCCCGACCCAGGUGCUCCGCCUACCUAGGGCAUCCGCAUCCUCCCCUCUAGCCCCCGCGAUCGGGACACCCCCCGCCGGCGAGCGAUGUUGCCCCCUCCGCGCCGCGGCCCGGCGUACAAGACCAAGAUGUGCGCGUUGUGGCAGAACGGCAACUGCGACCGCGAGCUCUGCAGCUUCGCCCACGGCACGGCCGAGCUCCGCCGGCCCCCCUCCUCCCGGCCCACCUUCCCGCCCCACCACGCCGGGAGAAGAGAUUAUAGAGGUGGUGAUUUCAGAGGCAGGAUUGAAAGGAGGUUCUCACCUCGCAGGAGGCAUUCCCCUGGAAGAGAUUUCAGGGGUCAUCGUUCCCUACACGAUCGAAGGCCAACUUCUCGAGAAAGGGAGUCUAGCUUUUCACGGUCUCCCAGCAGGAAGAGUGAGAGGAGGCAUGAAAAGAAGAUGGAUGAUGGAGAAACCAACUCAUCUAAGAGUUCUCCUAUCUCUGAUAAUAAUGAUAGGAAAAAGGAAAAAGUCACUAGUGGUGACGAGAAAGAGGAUUAUGAAAAGGAGUUGAAACAAGUUAGAUCAGAUAUGGAGGCUUUGCGUGACGAUAAAUCUCAUCUCGAGAUUGUUUUGGAUGAGAAAAUGGACGAAGUGCGCAGGAUUUCUAGCCAAGUAAGUGACCUUGAUCAGCAGCUGAGGAGGGAGAAAGAAGAAUGUCAUAGAAUGACGUCAAAAAUGAAGAAGUUCCUAAAAGCUCAUGUCCGUUUUAUGAAAGCUCGGGAGGAGUUGAAAAGGUCACAAGCUCGUUUUGAGAGACUUGGUGAUAUGCUUGCUUCAGAAAUUUUAAAGCGUGGUGCUAAUGAAGAAGCUUCCAGCGUCCAUGUUGAUGAAGAUCUAAAUGGACCUUAUGAAAGGAGUCCAAAUGCUACUCCAGCUAAAAAGAGAUCAAUCCCAUACUCAACUAGUGAUGAGGCAAAAGCUGCUAAGAAAAGAAGAGAGCGAGAGACUGAUGCAUUCACUAGAUCAGAUAAAUAUAGGUCAGAAGGCGACAUUACAGACUAUGAUAAAACAAUUAAGGGUAGUGAUGGAACAAAAUCUAUAUAUUUGAAGAAGAGACUGUGGGAAGAUGAAAAGAAUAAGCUUGGAAAUGCUGCUUCCUCUGCAGACCAGGUGAAAGAUUCUCCAGUGAAGCACGCUUUGCCCUCCACUGGUAUGGCUGCUCGUGCCUUAUAUGACCUUAACGAGGCAGUUGAACUGGAUGAUAGAAACGAACAGAUAGAUGCAUUGCUAGAAAACGAUGCUGACGGGACUAGAUCGCCUGUACCUCCAGUGGGCCAAAAUGCCUUUGAGCAGUAUGAGGACCUCGACGAGGAAGUGGAUGUGGACGUAUAAGCCGAGCGCAGAGUUGAUAUGAUAAACGACGCGAUGGCGGUGGCUAGCAUAAUACACCAGUUGGCUUCUGGGAGUCCGAAGACUGUUAUUAGCAUUUCCGUGUACAAAGUGGCAUCUUUUGUGUUUUUUUAGCAUAAUAUACCUAUCUAUUUGAUAUAUAUAUUGGGUGUUUUUAGCUUUUUACUCAGAAUCCUCGUUUUGUAGUGGCAUCCUUUGGCGUUGAGCUGUGACUUUGUUGAUCCUGGUUGCGGCCUGCUCCGUGUGGAGCUAACUUAUUUUCGUGAAUGGCAACUCUGUCUCUUCGAUUUUGUCAGUGACGGUGCCGUGCACUAGGUAUUUCUAUUGUCAUCUCUCAAGCCAAUCAGCCCAGUACAGGUGACUAAUGUAUUUUCUAUAGCGCAUUCCCU
rnacentral:rRNA from 1 species